rnacentral:rRNA from 1 species
AACGCGUGGGAAAUCUGCCGAGUAGCGGGGGACAACGUUUGGAAACGAACGCUAAUACCGCAUAACAAUGAGAAUCGCAUGAUUCUGAUUUUAAAGAAGCAACUGCUUCACUACUUGAUGAUCCCGCGUUGUAUUAGCUAGUUGGUAGUGUAAAGGACUACCAAGGCGAUGAUACAUAGCCGGCCUGAGAGGGUGAACGGCCACACUGGGACUGGGACACGGCCCAGACUCCUACGGGAGGCAGCAGUAGGGAAUCUUCGGCAAUGGGGGCAACCCUGACCGAGCAACGCCGCGUGAGUGAAGAAGGUUUUCGGAUCGUAAAACUCUGUUGUUAGAGAAGAACGUUAAGUAGAGUGGAAAGUUACUUAAGUGACGGUAUCUAACCAGAAAGGGACGGCUAACUACGUGCCAGCAGCCGCGGUAAUACGUAGGUCCCGAGCGUUGUCCGGAUUUAUUGGGCGUAAAGCGAGCGCAGGUGGUUCCUUAAGUCUGAUGUAAAAGGCAGUGGCUCAACCAUUGUGUGCAUUGGAAACUGGGGAACUUGAGUGCAGGAGAGGGUAGUGGAAUUCCAUGUGUAGCGGUGAAAUGCGUAGAUAUAUGGAGGAACACCGGAGGCGAAAGCGGCUCUCUGGCCUGUAACUGACACUGAGGCUCGAAAGCGUGGGGAGCAAACAGGAUUAGAUACCCUGGUAGUCCACGCCGUAAACGAUGAGUGCUAGCUGUAGGGAGCUAUAAGUUCUCUGUAGCGCAGCUAACGCAUUAAGCACUCCGCCUGGGGA